CCGUGCCCAAGAGAUCGGGAUAACACCUGGAAACAGAUGCUAAUACCGGAUAACAACAGAUGAUGCCUAUCAACUGUUUAAAAGAUGGUUCUGCUAUCACUCUUGGAUGGACCUGCGGUGCAUUAGCUAGUUGGUAGGGUAACGGCCUGCCAAGGCGAUGAUGCAUAGCCGAGUUGAGAGACUGAUCGGCCACAUUGGGACUGAGACACGGCCCAAACUCCUACGGGAGGCAGCAGCC
rnacentral:rRNA from 1 species